AAAAUACUUCGGGGGCAAGGUGAAAUUCCUUACCGGUGGUGAAAGUCCACGAGCGCAAGCCGAGCAGGCGAAAUUCCUGCACCGACGGUACAGUCCGGAUUGAAGAAGUUUCAA
rnacentral:ncRNA from 2 species